rnacentral:miRNA from 1 species
UGCUCACUUCUCUUUCUGUCAUC